rnacentral:rRNA from 1 species
GACGAACGCUGGCGGCGUGCCUAACACAUGCAAGUCGAGCGGGGAUUGUGGAGAGGCUUGCUCAAAACCAAUUCUAGCGGCGGACGGGUGAGUAACGCGUGAGCAACCUGCCUUCUACUGGGGGAAUAACGCACCGAAAGGUGUGCUAAUACCGCAUGAGACCACAGGACCGCAUGGUCUAGAGGUCAAAGAUUUAUCGGUAGAAGAUGGGCUCGCGUCUGAUUAGCUGGUUGGUGAGGUAACGGCCCACCAAGGCGACGAUCAGUAGCCGACCUGAGAGGGUGGUCGGCCACAUUGGAACUGGAGAAACGGUCCAA